CCUACGGGUGGCAGCAGUAGGGAAUUUUCGUCAAUGGGCGCAAGCCUGAACGAGCAAUGCCGCGUGAACGAGGAAGGUCUUCGGAUCGUAAAGUUCUGUUGAAGGGGAAAAAGAGCGGAGAGAGGAAAUGGUCUCCGAUUGAUAUUACCCUUCGAGGAAGUCACGGCUAACUACGUGCCAGCAGCCGCGGUAAUACGUAGGUGGCGAGCGUUAUCCGGAUUGAUUGGGCGUAAAGGGUGCGUAGGCGGCCUGCUAAGUCUGGAGUCAAAGGUACCGGCUCAACCGGUAUCAGCUCUGGAAACUGGCGGGCUGGAGAGCGGGAGAGGGCGGUGGAACUCGAGGUGUAGCGGUAAAAUGCGUAGAUAUAUGGAAGAACACCAGUGGCGAAGGCGGCCGCCUGGCCUGUUACUGACGCUGAGGCACGAAAGCGUGGGGAGCAAAUAGGAUUAGAUACCCGGGUAGUC
rnacentral:rRNA from 1 species